rnacentral:rRNA from 1 species
AAAGUGAAAGACGGUCUUGCUGUCACUUAUAGAUGGAUCCGCGCUGCAUUAGCUAGUUGGUAAGGUAACGGCUUACCAAGGCAACGAUGCAUAGCCGACCUGAGAGGGUGAUCGGCCACACUGGAACUGAGACACGGUCCAGACUCCUACGGGAGGCAGCAGUAGGGAAUCUUCCGCAAUGGGCGAAAGCCUGACGGAGCAACGCCGCGUGAGUGAUGAAGGUCUUCGGAUCGUAAAACUCUGUUAUUAGGGAAGAACAUAUGUGUAAGUAACUGUGCACAUCUUGACGGUACCUAAUCAGAAAGCCACGGCUAACUACGUGCCAGCAGCCGCGGUAAUACGUAGGUGGCAAGCGUUAUCCGGAAUUAUUGGGCGUAAAGCGCGCGUAGGCGGUUUUUUAAGUCUGAUGUGAAAGCCCACGGCUCAACCGUGGAGGGUCAUUGGAAACUGGAAAACUUGAGUGCAGAAGAGG